CCCAGGGCAUACUUAGUACGGCGAGUGAGCGGUAAAAGCUCAAAUUUGAAAUCUGGUACUUUCAGUGCCCGAGUUGUAAUUUGUAGAAUUUGUCUUUGAUUAGGUCCUUGUCUAUGUUCCUUGGAACAGGACGUCAUAGAGGGUGAGAAUCCCGUUUGGCGAGGAUACCUUUUCUCUGUAAGACUUUUUCGAAGAGUCGAGUUGUUUGGGAAUGCAGCUCAAAGUGGGUGGUAAAUUCCAUCUAAAGCUAAAUAUUGGCGAGAGACCGAUAGCGAACAAGUACAGUGAUGGAAAGAUGAAAAGAACUUUGAAAAGAGAGUGAAAAAGUACGUGAAAUUGUUGAAAGGGAAGGGCAUUUGAUCAGACAUGGUGUUUUUUUAAUGUGCAAGUCUCUCGUGGACAUGUGCCUCUGGAAAUUAACACUGGGCCAACAUCAGUUCUGGCGGCAGGAUAAAUCAUUAAGAAUGUAGCUACCUCGGUAGUGUUAUAGCUUUUUGGAAUACUGCCAGCUGGGAUUGAGGACUGCGCUUCGGCAAGGAUGUUGGCAUAAUGGUUAAAUGCCGCCCGUCUUGAACCACGGAACCC
rnacentral:rRNA from 2 species